CUCUGGGCUGCCCCUUAAGGAUAAAAGUAGAGAAGGAAGGGGAGAAAAAGGUAGACAUGAAGGAGAAAGAAAAGGAUAAGGGAGAAGAAAGAAAGGACAGAGAGAAAAAAAUGAACAAUCAGAGUAAAGGCAGCAAGCAUUCUCUAACUCCUGACCGCGAGUGAUCCUCCUGCCUCAACCUCCCAAAGGGCUGGGACUACAGGCGUGAGCCACUGCGCAGGGCCUCAACCAGCGUUCUCUAGAGCGGUGGAUCCCAAAUGCCAUCUGAGGACCAGCAACAGCAGCAGCAUCCGGUUAAUGGAGUCAUGGUGACACUGAAAAUUCUUCCUGUGUUGGCAUCUGACAGAGGAUUUGAAACCGAAUGCUGAACUCAUGUUAGGAAAGUGAAGCAGCAGGUUCUCUGGAGAGAGAUGGUCUCUGCAUAGCAGAAAUGGAGUUCCCCCAAGUGAAGCGAGUCUGGCCGCUGGGGCGCUGGCUUCCUCACUGAGACACCAGAGAGGGAGCCUUCUUCCACAUUGUCAUCUGAAGAUUUCUCAUCAUUAGACUCUCUCAGCGCACCCAGAAUGGGACAUGGUGGGUGUGCAUGGUGUCUGGCGGGGCUUGCAGCCGACUGCAUCCAAAGCCACCCCAGGAGGUCAUCAUGAUGAGGAAGUUUGGGUCUGUUUACUACGAGGUCAAUGGCUGGCAUCGUUCUCUGCUCAAUUUUCACAGUUCC
rnacentral:lncRNA from 1 species